rnacentral:misc_RNA from 1 species
UAUUAUUCAGACCUUUCAUUAUUUCAAAAGGACUCUUAAGUUGCCGUUACCUACAUCUCAUCCAACUACUUAUGUAUCGCUUGGAACUAGAUGACUUACGCUCAGAAAUAAUAAAGAUUAACAAAGGUAUCGAUACGGAAAUAAACUAGAGCACAACCUUUCUCUGUAUCUUUCUAGCGUGAUAUGAACUUAAAGAAGAUAACAUACGUAAAGAAAGAAGAAUGGAAAUGCGUAAAACAAGAACUAAACUUAAUAAAAUGGCAACAUGAAUACUGACCUGUAAGGAGUCAAUUCUAGUGAACUAACCGAGGAUCACAAAACGCAAUAAGAUUGCAAGUUGAUAGCCGAGAGACUAAGGUUCGCCUUGGAACAAAGAGUGCUUCACUAAAUGCAAUCGAGUCAGAAUUAUACCCGAGUUUAAAUGAGAUUGAGUAUGGGCGAUGGAAGUGAAAAUAAAGAUAACAAGGAACUGAAAAAUGUGAACGCUAUGGGAUAAUGAACGAGCUGAAAAUGGAGAGUUUCAGCGUUCCAAAUCUUUUAAGAAAACACUUCAGGAAACUGGUUCCAAAAGCUCUUCUUAUGAAAGCAGAGUAAAAAUCUGAAUUAAAUUUCAGAGUUCUUCCACUAUAUUAACAACCUUCUUUCUUUUUUCCGUCCCCCUUGAACAGUUUUCAUGCAGGUAUUUAUAGGAACCGGGUGGCUCCCCUGAAGGGUCAGGAUCUAUCUUGGGGGAGAUGGAGGGUCAGGAUUUCAAAGGACAUGAUCGGAUGCUUGAGAAUUAAAGAGAACCAAAAUGAACGGCUGAGAUUAUUCUUCAGAAUAUUUGUCCUUUUCUUCUUUCAAUCUGACGGUCUCAAAUCCACUUGUCCGGAGCGAUCUGAGGGCUAAGAGCGAAAGGCGCUGGUCUUGUCGUCUCCUCUCUUGAUCCACGGGCUCCGGGUUCGUCCUUACAAGUGAAAUCAACGGUGGAGAUUGGGAUGUACAGGACUGUCAUGACAUACCCUGGCACCUGUCAGCAUUGCGGGCGAUUCUUAGGCGUGCGGUGGAGAUCUCGUCUGCCACGCUUUAACUACCUCGGCUCUGA